rnacentral:pre_miRNA from 1 species
AGUGAGAUAGCUGUGUCAAAUGGUGAUUUCAUUCCAGAUUUUCUAAGAAAUCUCCAUACUGCUUUCCAGAUUGGCUGCACCAAUUUGCAGUCCCAUCAGCAAU